rnacentral:rRNA from 1 species
CAAACAUUGUGUAAUGAACGUCAUUAGAUCAUAACAAAAAAAAACUUUUAACAACGGAUCUCUUGGCUCUCGCAUCGAUGAAGAACGCACCGAAAUGCGAUAAGUAAUGUGAAUUGCAGAAUUCAGUGAAUCAUCGAAUCUUUGAACGCAACUUGCGCUCUCUGGUAUUCCGGAGAGCAUGCCUGUUUGAGUGUCAUGAAAUCUCAACCAUUAGGGUUUCUUAAUGGCUUGGAUUUGGAGGUUGCCAUUCUAAAUGGCUCCUCUUAAAGGAGUUAGCAAGUUUUACUAUUGCUAUCUGGCGUAAUAAGUUUCGCUGGAAUGGUAUUGUGAAGCGUGCUUCUAAUCGUCUUCGGACAAUUACUUUGACUCUGGCCUCAAAUCAGGUAGGACUACCCGCUGAACUUA